GGGGCGUCUCGUUCUCAUCGCGAGAAGAGGCGCACCCAGAGCGUACACGCUGGGACCCGAAAGAUGGUGAACUAUGCCUGGUCAGGACGAAGUCAGGGGAAACCCUGAUGGAGGUCCGAAGCGAUUCUGACGUGCAAAUCGAUCGUCGGAACUGGGUAUAGGGGCGAAAGACUAAUCGAACCAUCUAGUAGCUGGUUCCCUCCGAAGUUUCCCUCAGGAUAGCUGGCGCUCGCUUUUGCGAGUCUCAUCUGGUAAAGCGAAUGAUUAGAGGCAUUGGGGUCGAAACGGCCUCAACCUAUUCUCAAACUUUAAAUGGGUGAGAUCUUCGGCUUGCUUGAACAGUGAAGCCGCGAGAUCGGAUCAGAGUGCCAAGUGGGCCAUUUUUGGUAAGCAGAACUGGCGCUGUGGGAUGAACCAAACGCAGAGUUAAAGCUCCUAAAUCGACGCUUAUGGGAUACCAUGAAAGGCGUUGGUAACUUAAGACAGCAGGACGGUGGCCAUGGAAGUCGGAAUCCGCUA
rnacentral:rRNA from 1 species